rnacentral:tRNA from 1 species
CAGGGGGUAGUUUAAUUAAAAAUGUCAGCUUUGGAGGCUGGUGAUGAGUAUACAUCUUUCCCUUGA